ensembl:snRNA U2 U2 spliceosomal RNA
AUCGCUUCUCGGCCUUUUGGCUAAGAUCAAGUGUGAGUGAUAAUUACAACUGGUUGAAUUUAAUUGUUUUAGUCACUAAUGCAUCCUUACUAUGUUGCUAUUUCAAAUAUAAUUUGGGGAACUAAU